CAGUCGCCGCGGGAAUACGAAGGGGGCUAGCGUUGUUCGGAAUUACUGGGCGUAAAGGGCGCGUAGGCGGCCAUUCAAGUUAGAUGUGAAAGCCCUGGGCUCAACCUAGGAAUUGCAUUUGAUACUGUUUGGCUUGAGUUCGGGAGAGGUGAGUGGAAUUCCCAGUGUAGAGGUGAAAUUCGUAGAUAUUGGGAAGAACACCGGUGGCGAAGGCGGCAACCUGGUCCAUAACUGACGCUGAGGCGCGAAAGCGUGGGGAGCAAACAGGAUUAGAUACCCGCGUAGUCCCUGUCUCUUAUAC
rnacentral:rRNA from 1 species